rnacentral:rRNA from 1 species
GGGCUCACACAAGCGGUGGAGCAUGUGGUUCAAUUCGAAGCAACGCGCAGAACCUUACCUGGGCUUGACAUGCUAGGAUUAUCCCUGUGAAAGCAGGGUAGGCCCUUCGGGGUACAACUAGUACAGGUGCUGCAUGGCUGUCGUCAGCUCGUGUCGUGAGAUGUCGGGUUAAGUCCCUUAACGAGCGAAACCUUUGCCCUUAGUUACCAUCGAGUAAAGUCGGGGACUCUAAGGGGACUGCCGGUGUCAAACCGGAGGAAGGUGGAGAUGACGUCAAGUCCUCAUGGCCUUUAUGCCCAGGGCCACACACGUGCUACAAUGGGGUGCACAAAGCGAACCGAGAGCGCAAGCUGGAGGAAAUCGCACAAAUCACCCCCCAGUUCAGAUCGGAGGCUGCAACUCGCCUCCGUGAAGUUGGAAUCGCUAGUAAUCGCGGAUCAGCUACGCCGCGGUGAAUGUGUUCCUGAGCCUU